AUUCAAAUGAUGAGUCCCAAAUAGGACGAAAUGCGCAUUAUCCUGUAU
rnacentral:hammerhead_ribozyme from 1 species